AAGCGGCAAGAGCUCAAAUUUGAAAUCUGGCCCCCCCAGGGUCCGAGUUGUAAUUUGGAGAGGAUGCUUCGGGCGCGGUUCCCGUCUAAGUGCCCCUGGAACGGGCUGUCAUAGAGGGUGAGAACCCCGUCUGGGAUGGGCCCAUCGCGCCCGUGUGAAGCUCCUUCGACGAGUCGAGUUGUUUGGGAAUGCAGCUCUAAGCGGGUGGUAAAUUUCAUCUAAAGCUAAAUACUGGCCGGAGACCGAUAGCGCACAAGUAGAGUGAUCGAAAGAUGAAAAGCACUUUGAAAAGAGAGUCAAACAGCACGUGAAAUUGUUGAAAGGGAAGCGUUGGCCACCAGACGCGCCUGGGGGGGCUCAGCCGGCACAUGUGCCGGCGUAUUUCCCCCCGGACGGGUCAGCAUCGGUUUGGGCGGUCGCUGAAAGGCGCCGGGAAUGUAGCACCCUCCGGGGUGCCUUAUAGCCCGGAGCGUCAUGCGGCCUGCCGGGACCGAGGACCGCGCUUCGGCGAGGAUGCUGGCGUAAUGGUGGUCAACGGCCCG
rnacentral:rRNA from 1 species